rnacentral:rRNA from 1 species
UCUUAGUGGCGGACGGGUGAGUAACGCGUGGGUAACCUGCCCCAUACCGGGGGAUACCACCUGGAAACAGGUGCUAAUACCGCAUAAGCGCACGGGAGCGCAUGCUCCUGCGUGAAAAACUCCGGUGGUAUGGGAUGGACCCGCGUCUGAUUAGCCAGUUGGCAGGGUAACGGCCUACCAAAGCGACGAUCAGUAGCCGGCCUGAGAGGGUGGACGGCCACAUUGGGACUGAGACACGGCCCAAACUCCUACGGGAGGCAGCAG